rnacentral:rRNA from 1 species
UACGUAGGGGCAAGCGUUGUCCGGAAUCAUUGGGCGUAAAGAGCGUGUAGGCGGUCCGGUCAGUCGGUUGUGAAAGUCAAGGGCUCAACCCUUGAAUGCCGGCCGAUACUGCCGGGCUAGAGUCCGGAAGAGGUGAGUGGAAUUCCUGGUGUAGCGGUGAAAUGCGCAGAUAUCAGGAGGAACACCGAUGGCGAAGGCAGCUCACUGGGACGGUACUGACGCUGAGACGCGAAAGCGUGGGGAGCAAACAGG